CUGGCUCAGGAUGAACGCUAGCGGCAGGCCUAACACAUGCAAGUCGCGGGGCAGCACGGGUAGCAAUACCUGGUGGCGACCGGCGCACGGGUGCGUAACGCGUAUGCAACCUGCCCCCAUCAGGGGAAUAGCCCGCCGAAAGGCGGAUUAAUGCCCCAUAGGCCCAGGGCGCCGCAUGGCGCUAUGGGUAAAGCUCCGGCGGAUGGGGAUGGGCAUGCGUGCCAUUAGCUAGUUGGGGCGGUAACGGCGCACCAAGGCGACGAUGGCUAGGGGGUCUGAGAGGAUGGUCCCCCACACUGGUACUGAGACACGGACCAGACUCCUACGGGAGGCAGCAGUGAGGAAUAUUGGUCAAUGGGCGGAAGCCUGAACCAGCCCAUGCCGCGUGCAGGAUGACGGCCCUACGGGUUGUAAACUGCUUUUCCCCGGGAAGAAUAAGCCCCUCGUGAGGGGUGGUGCCGGUACCGGGGGAAUAAGGAUCGGCUAACUCCGUGCCAGCCGCCGC
rnacentral:rRNA from 1 species